rnacentral:tRNA from 4 species
AAAACUUGAAAAUCCGUUGGCUUUAUUGACCGUGAGGGUUCAAGUCCCUCUACCCCCA